GACGAACGCUGGCGGCGUGCUUAACACAUGCAAGUCGAACGGAAAGGCCUGCUUUCCCUUGUGUGUUGCGGGUACUCGAGUGGCGAACGGGUGAGUAACACGUGAGUUAUCUUCCCCCAACUUUGGUAUAAGCCUGGGCAACUGGGUCUUAUUCCCGAUAGGACUGCAGGGUGGUUCCUGUGGUGGAAACCGAUUUUCUUGUGGUUGGGGCUGAGCUCGCGGCGUAUCAGCUUGUUGGUGGGGUAAUGUCCUACGAAGGCGGCGACUGGUAGCCGGCCCGGGAGGGUGGGCGUGAGAAGUGGGACGGAGAUACGGCCAAGACGACAACGGGAAGAAGCAGAGGGGAAGAAUGAACGAGGAGCGGAAGCCUGAGGGAGCGACGCCGCGUGGGGGAUGACGGCUUUCGGAUUAUAAACUCCUUGCGACAGCGAGGAAGCGACCUGGUUGGAGGGGUAGUGACGGUAGUGGUAGAAGAAGCACCGGCUAACUACGUG
rnacentral:rRNA from 1 species